rnacentral:rRNA from 1 species
UACGUAGGGGGCGAGCGUUGUCCGGAGUUACUGGGCGUAAAGCGCACGCAGGCGGUCUGUUAAGUUUGGAGUGACAGUUGGUGGCUUAACUGCCAAAGUGCUUCGAAAACUGACAGACUUGAGGGCUUCAGAGGGACACGGAAUUCCGGGUGGAGUGGUGAAAUGCGUAGAUAUUCGCAAGAACACCAGUGGCGAAGGCGGCUCACUGGCCCGGUACUGACGCUGAGGUGCGAAAGCGUGGGGAGCAAACAGG